GGGCUCACACAAGCGGUGGAGCAUGUGGUUCAAUUCGAAGCAACGCGAAGAACCUUACCCGGGUUUGAAAUCCACGGAUGGGUCCGAUGAAAGUUGGAUACCCUGCCCGCAAGGGUGAAACGUGGACAGGUGUUGCAUGGCUGUCGUCAGCUCGUGUCGUGAGAUGUCGGGUUAAGUCCCUCAACGAGCGAAACCCUUGUCUCUAGUUGCCAACGGUUCGGCCGGGGACUCUAGAGAGACUGCCGUUGUGAAAACGGAGGAAGGUGGGGAUGACGUCAAGUCAUCAUGGCCUUUAUGUCCGGGGCUACACACGUGCUACAAUGGGCGGCACAAAGGGAUGCGAAGUCGCGAGGCCAAGCAAAACUCAGAAAACCGUCCCCAGUUCAGAUUGGAGGCUGCAACCCGCCUCCAUGAAGAUGGAAUCGCUAGUAAUCGCGGAUCAGCUACGCCGCGGUGAAUAUGUUCCUGGGCCUU
rnacentral:rRNA from 1 species